GGAAGAGCUGCCCUCAGCGUGGCCGGGCAACAUCUAAUCGGCUGAAAGCUUGGAUCGAAUGAAAAGGCAGAGGAAAGGUUCUGAAGACCUCAAAUGGACUGAGCCACACUACCAGCAUCCAGCAUCCAUGGUUCUCCAGUCUGCAGAUGGCCUAUUAUGGGACUUUUCAGUCUUCAUAAUUAUAUGAGAGAAAGAAAAUGAAAAGGAUUUGUAAACUAUAAAUCUCUAAACAGAUGGGAGGAAAGGAAUUGAUGAAACAAUAAAUUUAUUGAUGAAACAAUAAAAAUAAACAUAAAGAAC
rnacentral:lncRNA from 10 species